CCCGUUUCUCUCGGACCAGUGAACCUCGCCCGGAAGCUUCCCCUAAUAAAGCUCACUUGAAGCUUUCCUCUGUUUCGCGAUGCCGUUUGUUAAGAUCCGACCUUACAUUUGGCGCCGAAACCCGGGAGGGGUACCAAGCCCCGCGGGCCGCUCCUCCCCUCCCCCAGGAGACAACUAGGGAACCUCUACUCAUCCACCCGAUCUGGCAGAAAACGGGAUCUCUCUCAAACAGAAAAGCGAUUCGGCUCCUUUUCUGCCGACUCUUCCCGCUACAUCAAAGAAUUUCGCUACCUCUCUCAAGCUUACGAUCUAACCUGGCACGAUAUCUUUGUGAUCCUAUCUUCUACUCUGACCCCUGACGAGAGGGAAAGAAUUCAAACUGCUGCCCGAAACCAUGCAGAUCAGGUUCACCUUACCGACAACUCCAUGCCUGUCGGAGCGACUGCUGUACCUGGCACCGAUCCAGGCUGGACUUAUCAGGAUGGCCAAGAUGGCCGUCGUAAACGCGACCUCAUGAUCCAAUGCCUCCUGGCUGGCAUGCAGGCUGCCGCUCAUAAGGUAGUCAAUUUUGAAAAACUAAAAGAGAUCACCCAAGAACCUAACGAAAAUCCAGCUAUCCUUCUCAAUCGCCUUGCAGAGGCCUUAACUCUCUACACCCGGCUGGAUCCCGACACCCCGGCAGGGGUAGCGGUCCUAGCCACCCAUUUUAUCACCCAAUCAGCCCCGGACAUCCGAAAGAAAUUAAAACGGGAAGAAGACGGCCCUCAAACCCCUAUUCGAGAUCUGGUAAAGAUGGCCUUUAAAGUCUACAAUGGCUGUGAGGAUUUGGCAGAAUCCAGCCGAGAGGCUCGGAUGCACCAGGAGGUGGUCCUCCAAACCUAAGCUCUUGUAGCCGCCCUAAGGCCGGCCAUCUCCCAUGGAUCACAGCAUCCACGGGGUCCGCAAAAGGCAACCCCGCCGGGGGCCUGCUUCAAAUGCGGAAAAGAAGGCCACUGGGCUCGCCAAUGUCCCAAUCCCCGACCUCCUUCUAAGCCCUGUCCCAGCUGCGGGCUAACGGGCCACUGGAAGAGUGACUGCCCUACGACUGGCCCUCCCUCAGCAUCUCCACGCGGAGGGCAGGCCGACCCAAUGGCAUUACCACUCGAACUGCUGGGAUUGGCUGACAACUGAUGGCGCCCGGACUUGAAGACCCCCAUCACCCUCACCGAGCCCAGGGUAACGCUACAGGUAGCGGGUUCCUUCGGAGGCGCAUGGAGGAAGUCUCUCGGGUGGCCACAAACCAAAUGCUCCUCGGUCCUUACACCUUGCUUCCUACAGAACCCCCCACUGGUCUCCCCUAAGCCUCGGACCUCUGGUCGCCCGACUCUCCUUUCGACGCCCCCAUUCAGCAUGAAGUAGCCAGAGAUCAGAACGCCGCCCCAUUACACCAAAGAUUUCGGGAUGUUAGGCCAACUGUCCCGAGGCAGAGAACGCAAUCAGAUUCACAGGUUGCAUCAGACCGAAACUCUCCGGACCACCCAGUUCCAGAAACUGACCUGGAGACAUUCCGGACCACCCAGUUCCAGGAACUGACCUGGGGGCUUUCCACCCGGCCCAGCCUUCCCACCUUUCGAGGGGCGGGACUAGCUGUCCCAAGACUGAUGUAACCAGCACCAGAUAUUGCCACGCUACCCGACUAUAAAAUCUUGCCCAACCCUCGCCCGGGUGCGACUUCUCUGGCCCCUUUCUCUCGGAUCAGUGGACCUCGCCCGGGAGCGCCCCCUAAUAAAGCUCACUUGAAGCUUU